rnacentral:rRNA from 1 species
UACGUAGGGUGCAAGCGUUAAUCGGAAUUACUGGGCGUAAAGCGUGCGCAGGCGGUUCGCUAAGACCGAUGCGAAAUCCCCGGGCUUAACCUGGGAACUGCAUUGGUGACUGGCGGGCUAGAGUAUGGCAGAGGGGGGUAGAAUUCCACGUGUAGCAGUGAAAUGCGUAGAGAUGUGGAGGAAUACCGAUGGCGAAGGCAGCCCCCUGGGCCAAUACUGACGCUCAUGCACGAAGGCGUGGGGAGCAAACAGG